rnacentral:lncRNA from 1 species
AAAAAUUAUCAAAAGUCAUGAAAGACCUUAAUGAAUUCAGAAAGAUUCUAUGGUAGGCAGAGUGAGAGAAUAAGAAAGGUUAAUACCCUAUGAGAGUUGCAAUGUACAACAGAGAGCAUAGCAAGAAACAAAUUAUCUGAAGUGAAUGGUGUCUGUGUCUGGAAAAGGGUUCACUCAGUCUUUUGAGCAGUCUUCUUUAGCGUAGUAUCUGGGGCCUGUGUCUUCCAAGGAAGCCACAUUUCAAAACUAGAAAACCUACAAGAAAUUGAUAAAUUCCUGGAAACAUACAAUCUCCGACACAACGAAUAAAGAAAACUUCAGACCAAAAACCUUGAUGAAUAUACAUGCAAAAGUACUCCACAAAAUACUAACAAACUGAGUCCAGCAGCAAUUCGAAAAGCUGAUCUACCACAAUCAAGUAGGCUUUAUCUCUUAGAGGCAAGAUUGGUUCAACAUACACAAAUUAAUAAAUGUGAUCCAUUUCAUAAACAGAACUGAAACAAAAGCCACAUGAUUGUUUCACUACAUGCAUAAAAUGAUUUUGAUAAAAUUCAAUAUCCUUUCAUAUUAAAACCUUUAACAAACUAGACUUUGAAGAAACAUACCUCAAAAUAAUGAGAGCAGUCUGUGACAUACCCACAGCUAACAUCAUACUGCAUAGUAAAAAGCUGGAAGCAUUCCCUUUGAGAACUGAAAGAAGUCAAGGAUGGCUUCUUUCUUUUAAGUUCUUUGAGAAUUGCUACACUGCUUUCCACAAUGGCUGAGCUAAUUUACAUUCCUACCAGUAGUGUAUAAGCAUUCCCGUUUUUCCACAACCUCACCAGCAUCUGUUAUUUUUGGACUUCUUAACAUAGCCAUUCUGCCUGGGGUGAGGUGGCAUCUCAUUGUGCUUUUAAUUCACAUUUCUCUAAUAGUUAGUGAUAGCAAUCCUAUUAUUGGAUAUAUAUUCAAAGGAAUAUAAAUCAUUCUAC